AGGAGUAUAGCUUAACUGGUAGAGUGCUUGCCUAGCAUGCAUGAAGCCCUGGGUAUCAUUCCUAGUAUUGCAU
rnacentral:tRNA from 1 species